rnacentral:rRNA from 1 species
UACAGAGGUCUCAAGCGUUGUUCGGAUUCAUUGGGCGUAAAGAGCUCGUAGGCGGCUUGUUGCGUCGACUGUGAAAAACCACGACUCAACCGUGGGACUGCAGUCGAUACGGGCAGGCUAGAGUUCGGUAGGGGAGACUGGAAUUCCUGGUGUAGCGGUGAAAUGCGCAGAUAUCAGGAGGAACACCGGUGGCGAAGGCGGGUCUCUGGGCCGUAACUGACGCUGAGGAGCGAAAGCGUGGGGAGCGAACAGG